rnacentral:misc_RNA from 1 species
GGUAUGACCUGAUACAAUUUCUUAUGCAUAUGAUCAAUAGAUUUCUGCUUAGGAAUCUGGUGCUAUGAGAUCACCAUGAUUUAUAAAGUACUUUGUUGAUUCAAAAUCAUAAAUAUAGUUUUAAAUGUGAAAUAGUAUUGAGAAAGGAUGCUAAAUGAAGUAGAAGUAGAUUGCCAGAGACAACGGACUCUAAUUAGUUAACUGAUUUGCUUGUGCAUCUUUGAGGGUGAUGUGAUUUGUUUGCACACUUGUUGGGCAAUCUAUAUGUUUCUAUGAAGUUUGAGUCUGCAAGGAAAAGAUUAAUUGGGACAAUUUAAUCUCUCUUAAUUUUCCUAAUCUUGUCACUUGCAUUGAAUUUUAUGUUUUGGUGUGUGAAUCUCAUUGUGUGCAAGUGCAAGUUGAAUCCAUUUGUUUGAGUACACGAUGAGUUUUUGGAAUACCACCCAAAAGGCACUAUGAGAUUUUGGAAUACCACUUUUGAAGAUCAAGUUGCCUUGGGCUUUAAAAUUGUCAAAUGGUAAGCAAACUGUGGUUUAACCUAGAAGACGCAAUAGAAGAAAGGAAGAGAGAAAUUGAGAAAAUAUGGUGUCAUUACAUGAGCAAAUCAUCUAUAUUGAUGUUGGUUAUAUAUUGGUAAUCAUGUCUUAGAAAAUCAAAUUUUGCUUUCUUAAAAUAACAGGUUCGACAUAACAAUUACUGGUACUAUAAAAAUACUCUCUUGAACCUUAGGCAUUCUCUUAAUUUCUUAAACUUCUGUCGUGUGUUUGGUUAUUGAAAAAUAGUUAAACAUCAUAUAUAUCACUUUCUGAUAACAAAAAGAAGUAAGAACCUAAAAUUAAUAAAUUGUUGCUAGUAGAAAAUGUUGAAGAUUGGUUUCUGGAAUUCAUGUUAAUUUAAAGGAUUACCAUGUAUGAAGCAUCAUGUUACUAGGUGUGUUUGUUUAAAAAUAGCUAAAAUAGCUACUGAAACAUAAUUAACAUUAAAGUACAAGAAUUUUCAUGUAAAUUUCUCUUAAAAUUGCAUUGCUGCAAAAGCAUUUCAAUGGAGCCAAAUAUUGAUUCCUUAAGUCUACGCUAUUCAAAUGUAAUUAUGGAUUUGAAAGUGAUGAAAAAGAAAAAAACUCCUGGGAAAUCCAUUUGUUUUUAUUAUGGGCCUUGAUGUCCAGCCCUGGGGGCCCUACACUUUAUUCGCUUGCAAAUCAUUUGAUUUUUGAAAUGAAAAAAUUAAAUAUUUUUAACUUAAAAAAAAACCAUUUUGAAUGACAUAAAAAUCAAGCAUGAUUGUGUGAGAAGUCAAUUGAAUUCUUUUCUUGUAAAAGAUUUAUUCCAAACAAAGCCUAUAUAGUUAGCAUAGAUUUAAAGAUUUUGAAUUGCUAAUCAGGUAGGUAUAACUUGUAUAUAUUUGUAUCAGUUAUUCUUGAAAUAAUACACAGAAAAUUAUUCCUAACAUGGUAUUAGAGACAUAAUUCCAAUGAGGAAGAAAAACCCUAAAACCAUUUUUUUCCUCC